AACACAGAAACAGAAUACCAAUUACUUUGGGAGAAAGAUAGAUUACUUGAAGCCGCCCUUGAGGCCGUUGUCGUCUUUGUCUUAUUUGGUGGACUAGUUAACUGGUUUAUGAAAGCGGAAUCGGCGGGCUAGUGCAGCGUUAUAUGCACAACAAAACAAGUUCUUGCACAGAAUCUGGCAUACUGGCACAGUUAUUGAAGAUAAAACUAUCGCGCAAAUGACAUUUAUAGAUGAGGAAAGAUUUAACAGUUAAGAGGAGCGCCUCGUUUUAUGGACCUCUUUCAAAACACAGGAACCAGUUUCGCGCGCUGCACGGCAUUUGUUUCCUUGUGUUUGUUGGUAUCCUUCCUCUUUUUUUUUUCCACGACGGUAAUGGCGGCCGUCUUGUCGUAGUCCAAUGUUAUUCUCGCAAGCAGGCGGCAGUUGGUGUAGCGGACAAGCAGCGGUUACCUGAAAAGCUUUGCGCAUGUGCAGCCGUUUCUUGUUCUGACAUACCAUGACGGGUUCAAAGGCCAAGUGCGAUUCGUGCUCGCAGCCGUUGUUCUGUCGACAACAAUUUAUCCCAUGCUGUGGGCCUUGUGGCCGGCGGUUCCACCGCAAGUGCUUGGGCAUCUUUGAUGAAGAGUACGAGCUGUACAUGUCCACGGGAUCGAGCACGUACAAGUGCUCCCAGUGUACUAGACGCAACGGGUUUGACAAUAUAGGGCUCCCAAUGCCCGCUGUAAGUACCCCGCUGGACCAAGACGUCACCACCUGUGAUGGAGCCUGCGGCCAACUUCGUGUCGUCGUGCAGGCCCUGUGCGACAAAAUCGCGUCACUUACAAGUGUGGUUCUUGAUCUGAAAAAUGACAACGACAGCCUUCGCUUGCACCUGGCCCGGAACACAGAGCUGUUGCGAAAAUGUACGCCGCAGCAGAAAUGUGACGGAAACGAGUGGCGUCCUUUGGCGCCUUCACCGACGUCCCUUUGGUCACACGCCGCAAGUCUACGUGUCCUAUCCAUCGACUUCGCGUCGCGCCAACGCGAAGCUACGUCACUAGCCAACCAGAUGCCAAGAUGCGUCAUCGGAUUACCGUGCGGGCUGACUGUUACAUCACAGAAAUGACGUCCAGGACUCUGGGUGCCGUUGGAGGUGGCGAACCCGCCAGCGCCGUACAGGUAAGACUGGGCCAGGUUCGACUUUCCCUGGCCAGCCGAUGCGUUCGCCGACGAGCCUUGUCGGGAGCCUGCGGGUCACAUACACGGGAGAGCAGCUACUUCGUGCGCUGUCCGGCAACAGUCUGGCGAAACUCCAGCUAUGUUAUAGCGGCGCAAUCCAGGGCCGAAGCCGCGGCUGGGCUGCUCUUGGAAGGCAGCGGGUCGGCGUCCGUGGGAGACACGGCUCC